rnacentral:rRNA from 1 species
CACAAGCGGUGGAUGAUGUGGUUUAAUUCGAUGCAACGCGAAAACCUUACCCACCUUGACAUGGCAGGAAUCCCGAAGAGAGUUGGAGUGCUCGAAAGAGAACCUGCACACAGGUGCUGCAUGGCUGUCGUCAGCUCGUGUCGUGAGAUGUUGGGUUAAGUCCCGCAACGAGCGCAACCCUUGCCAUUAGUUGCUACGAAAGGGCACUCUAAUGGGACUGCCGGUGACAAACCGGAGGAAGGUGGGGAUGACGUCAAGUCCUCAUGGCCCUUAUAGGUGGGGCUACACACGUCAUACAAUGGCCGGUACAGAGGGUAGCCAACCCGCGAGGGGGAGCCAAUCCCACAAAGCCGGUCGUAGUCCGGAUCGCAGUCUGCAACUCGACUGCGUGAAGUCGGAACCGCUAGUAAUCGCGGAUCAGCAUGUCGCGGUGAAUACGUUCCCGGGUCUU